UACGUAGGUGGCGAGCGUUGUCCGGAAUUAUUGGGUGUAAAGGGUGCGUAGGCGGGUCUUUAAGUCAGGGGUGAAAUCCUGGAGCUCAACUCCAGAACUGCCUUUGAUACUGAGGAUCUUGAGUUCGGGAGAGGUGAGUGGAACUGCGAGUGUAGAGGUGAGAUUCGUAGAUAUUCGCAAGAACACCAGUGGCGAAGGCGGCUCACUGGCCAGAUACUGACGCUGAGGUGCGAAAGCGUGGGGAGCAAACAGG
rnacentral:rRNA from 1 species